rnacentral:lncRNA from 1 species
AUACUUGUAGAAUUAGUAAUUGAUCAAGACGGAAUCUGUCAACUUUAGUAAUAAGUUUAAACUCUAUGUUAUCAUUUAUUAAAAUAACUAAAUUAAGAUCUUGGUCAUGGCAAUUGAAUGGAAAGAAAAAAAGAGUUUUUUAUAUCAUUCAUUAAUCAGUUGUAAUUGACAUUAGACAUGGUUGGUUACCUAAUGGAAUUUGACA